GUAUCCAGAAGCAUCACUGUGUGUGGAAUGCAUGUAGCUACCUUCUACUUGUCCUUCAAGAUUCAGAUCACAGUUAUCAGUAACCCUGAUGAAGAGGAAUUUCAAUGGCAGAAGGAAGAGAAGAGAUGGGUAAGGCAAUGGAGGAAGCAGCAAGUUACAUCCUGUUCCAGGCUAAGGCCAGAAGACAAAGUGGCUCACAACAGGGAAGUGGUGAAAUCGACUUUCACAAAUACGAUGACAGGGAGUGGCAUUCUGGGCCUCUUGUAUUUUAUCUGACAACCCUGUUUAGGGUACAUGAACUUUUUGUGGGGCAAUUAUUCUGCUUAUUGAAUCACAAAGUGUUAGUUGUGAAAAAGACCUUAGAGAUAAUAUAACUCAAUUUUAAAAUAGAGCUAAUAAAACUUUUGUUUUACACCCACUGAAUACUCAUUCUCAAAACUACAUAAA